GCGCACGGGUGAGUAACGCGCACAUGACCUGCCCUUUACUGGGGAUAGCCUCGGGAAACUGAGAUUAAUACCCCAUGGUAUUAUUAUGCUGCAUGGUAUGAUAAUUAAAGCUGANGCGGUAAAGGAUGGGUGUGCGUCUGAUUAGCUAGUUGGGAAAGGGUAACGGGCUUACCAAGGGCGAAGAUCACCAAGGGGCGCUGAAAACGGUGGAAACCCCACAACGGGGUAAUGGANACACGGGAACCCGGAAUCCUAACGGGAAGCACACAAGGGAACANUGGGCCCACUGGGACGGGAAACUCCUGGAAACAAGCAAUCCCCGCGGUGGAAACGGGACUGCGAACAGGGGGCUCCUAGGCCUUGGCAAAACUCCCCCUCGGAAAUCGGGGCACGCAAACACAAAGGGGGGGAAUNAUAAUACCCCUACCGCAACUUCGAACCGGGGAACCCCAUCGACGGAAAUUAAAGGCAACACCGGGGGCGUUUAAAAUUUCCCCGGUGGGCCNACGCAAAGCGCCCGCCAGGGUANUUAAACACGGGGACACGGGGGUUGGCCCAAAGGGCCGGUUAAUCCCCCGCGGAAAAUUUCCCCCUCGGCGG
rnacentral:rRNA from 1 species